ACACCUCGCCCCGGCUGGGAGCUCUGCCCUCGGGGUGAGGCUGAUGCCCCGUGGCUGUCCUCUGGGCACAUCGCGCCGGGCGGCCUGGGGACACCGAGGAUGCCGCUUUGUACUGGAGCCCAAUCUCUCUGACAUUCCUCUAUCAAUGAUUAAUUUCCUCUGAUCCUCUUGCUGCAGUGCAUUAGACAGUUGAAGCCAAAAUGUAAAAGAGCAGCAAAAUGCCCCAUGGGCCACAAGAGGAACAGGCAAACAGAGAACAGAUCAGACCUGGAGUGAUUGGCGCUCUGGGCAGAGCGUCCUGCAAGAUCAGCUGCCUUUGGGGUUAUAAGGCACAGGCAUGGUGUGGAGUGAGGAGGGAGGGAGGUCAGGGUUUCCCUGGGAUCAGAGAUUGAGAACUCAGAUUUUUUUUUAUGGAAAGGGACAUCACAGGAAAGUGCUGGCUUCCAUGAGACUCCCCAAGUGAGCUUUGUUGGGGGCCAUCCGAAAUUGCAGAAAUAGGAUUCUAAAUUUCCAUUUUAGAACAUUUUACAAAUAUUCUUAGUUCUAUAACAAAGAAUUCAGGAUAACAUGUGAAACUCCUCCAUUUGUUGUUUGUUUGCUUGUUUUUGCAUGUAAAAUUGUAGAAAUCUUGACCUUACUUCUUGGGAUAAACUGGAGAAGGACCAAGUCUCAAUUUUGUUCCCUACUCCAGGACAAAAAAUUUUCCACGUAUCUAUCGGGUCAUCCUUAUCUGAACGUCACAGUUCAGUCACUUAGCACUUUGGCUAUUUUAGCCACUUUUUUAGCAUCUAUCUCCCAUCCAUUGUUCUCCAUUUCUACAGCAGAGCAAUUUUCUCCCCUCACGGCACAGUCGUACUGCUGCUUUCCUAUGUGCAAAGUGCUCUGACAUCUCUGCAUAGGAGGUGCAGCUCAGUGCAAAGUUCUCUGUUACACAUGAGAAAAUAAUUUGCAAUUAAGUUAUUGGAUGAAUUCCUCUUUUGUUCUGUCUGAAAAUGGCCUGUGAGCAGAUUGCUAAAUUCUCAAACGAUUCAUUACAACAAAUUGUUUGUGAGUUUCUUGCCUAAAUAAUUCCUGGUCUGACUAGAACAAACAGUUCACAACGCGUGGCUGGAAUUCGUAAUUGCCGAGUUCCUUGAGUGGAUGGUGCAGGGCAGGAGGUUGGCCACUCACUCUGGACUGCAAGCAGCGGAAGAUGUGGUGGAAAACUUGCUGUUGGAUCUGUGCUUUAAUUCUGAGAUGUCUGGUUCAGAUCUGAGUGCUCGUUUUCUUGAGGGGUCGAGCCCAAGGAGUUGAGGAUAGGUGGUUAAACCUCGCUGUCCGGUGGGUAUUUGCAGAGGGGAGGCAGCUGUGUGAGGUAAGGCCGUGUGCUGGGUUUGGGGAGGGCAGCGUUAUCCCCACUAAAUGAUCUCUUUAAAGCUCCCAAAUAGUGUGAGUGGGAGGAGAUCGGGGGAGCGAAGCUACGGACAAUCCUUUGGCUGAGGAGGAAAAGGGAGCAAACCGAGUGCCGUGCCACCAGGACCCGAGGUACGAGGCAGCCCGAGGAUGAAGAGGAUGGGAAGGUGGCACCGGGGCUGGCCCUGUGCCUUGUGUCUGGUGGCACUCUUGGAGGCAGAGCCCGUGGCUGCCAAAUCGCCACCGGCCUGGCCAGCUGGUCAGUGGUACAGGGGCUGGAAAACGGACACGAGCAUAGCAGCAAACAUCACCGACCGCCAGCAGCUGGAAGGGCUGGGCUCAGUGCUGUGCCCCUGGCAGCCCCCACCGUCAUCGCUGCGGUCCCAGUGCCGAGCGCCUCGUGGGCAGCUGUCAGACACUGCCGUCUGCAUGCCUCCGCUCGUGGUACUUGGAGACCGCGCAGGAUGAAAAAAAUGCCAAUUUUUACUUUAUUGCGUUCUGUUGGUUUCUAGCUGUGGUGGUUUUGUUGCCUGAGCCGGUAUAAAGGCUGGCUGGAGCAUUUUCUCCUCUGUGCUUUAAGUCUUGCUUUCACACCAUUCUUCUUGUUCGGAAGAGCUGUUUGUGGCCCUACUAACACAAAAAGUGGGCACCAGCUAAUGAAGGUGGGACUAGUGCUGAUUUUCUUGUCUCUGGUCUGACUGUCCCCAACUUGUCCCUGUUAAAACAGACCUGGUCACAUACACAACAGUGCUCACUCUGUCCAUGUUUUGGCUGUCCUUGUAAACGAGCGCAGCGCUCAGACCAACUGCACUGGCAUCAACGAUUAGUUCAUUCUGUGUUAAUAAAAAUAAGCUGAGAGCAUCAGACGUUACCGUGGCUUUUAGAAGCACCCCGGCGUCCCAGCGCCUAUCAGCCUGUCCCUAUGGCUGACCUCUGUUCGCUGAUCUGCUUCGUGUCUGUGGGAUGCUUGCUAAGUCUGGAGCGAGCCAGGAACGGCAGUUGGUGAAACCCAGAAGAUUUCUUGCUCCUAAGACGUCUUUGGCUCGGUGGCAGCUUCCGUCUCCGCUGCCUGGCUUGGGAAGCAUUGCGGUGGCCGUCCGCGCAGGGUCGGUUUCCAUCUUGUGUGCAGCUCCCCUGGUACUGGGACGUCUCUCUUCCCAUGGAGCUGCAGGAUUUGUGUGUCAGUGAUUCAUCUGGGAGAUGGCAGCCCUGCAGCAGAGCCUGGUUGAAGAGGAGAUGGAGGACAGGAGGACCUGUUAGUCCUCCAUCAGAAUGUGAAUGCAUGGAGUUCCUAGAAACACGACCGAGGUGCGCCUCUGGGCCAGCUCUGCAGGACAUCUGUGAUGAGUGUGUUGGGAGUGAAAAGCAAACACCCGUUAGCUGGGUACGAGAGUGCAAAGCCAGUGUCUGUACUCAGCUGUCUUUGCUCAAUGUCUGGAUUUAGGAGGCAAAAGGUUCUCUGCACUGGAAAGGAGACACUUGUGUUAUAUGCUGAUGUAUGUACACAAUAACUCACCUCUAGCUCAUGCUGAAUUUACAGAUAAACCCUUCUCUUUCCCGGGUUGCUUGCAACAAGCUGCACAAAUCCUGAUGGCCUUAAACACACUAACCUGGGCCUCGGUGGAGCUGCUCACAGGCUGAAAAUUAAACAACAUUCCAAACAGUUUACUUUGAAAGCCAGCAGCAAGGCUAAAAGCCUCCAUCUCGCCUGUUUUAUCUGAAGGGAAUAGCAAAAGGAAGACAUUCCCGUUGUAGUCCCAAGGCUAAUGAGCAAAGAGGUGCUGGAGCCAAACAACGAUAAUAGCAGGUACAGCAGAAACACACAAACAUUACCCCAGAUUCGAGGGCGGCUUAGCUGGCAAGCCCUUUGUCCAGCUGUCCCUUUGUCCAUCUGUCCAUCUGUCCAUCUAGUCUUGCUUUGCCCAACAUCUGUCUGUGUUGGGCAAAGCAGGACUAAAUGCAACUGUGAGCACCGUUGCUCCUUGUCGUGGGGAAAGCAGAUGCAUUUGCUUCGUGAUAAUAGCUUACAGGAAGAAAGUGUUAUGUAUUAUUUCCCCCCACCGAAGUGCAGCCUGGAGAAGCCACAGCUCUUUGUGGUUUCACAUAAUGCAUGUGAAAGUCAGGUGUGGUUGCUGAAGAGCGUGCAAUUAAGUAGUGCUUGAGGAAACUGAGCCAUGGAAGUUGUUGGGGUUUUGGGGGCUUGAUUUUUUUCAAACAAACCUUUAAAUGUUGGUUAACUCCUUACAAAGUGGCUCCAAGCCAAGUCCUGCUCCUCUGGACAGGGAAGCUUUAGGAUUCACCGAGGAAUGGAAAUUGUUGGUAUUUCUUUGGAGUCUCUUCCAUGCCUUUUAUUCAAAAGUGAAAGAAUUAAAAUAAAUAGGACUCCUUUUUGUGCCUCUCUCUCCAGACAAAAAUAUUUUUGUAAUAACAAAAACGUUACGUAUAUACGGAUUCAGUGCUGUUUUUCUACAAACACAUCGGCCUACAGAGGCUCUGCUGUGGGCAGGGGUGACUGGCAUGGCAGUGGCAGUCACUAGUGGCAGUCAUUAGGUGUGGCAGCAGAAGUUCUCUCCUGAGGUUUGAUUUUGGGGACAAAAAUAACCACAACCGGCAACUCAUGAAAAAAAUCAAUUUUUCCUGCUCUGUGCAGCCCCCAAAAGCUUUUUUGCUAGCCCUAUAGACACUGCUGAUCUUGGGGGGGGGGGUGUUUGGCUGCCUUCGGGACCAUGCAGGGCUUGGAAAAGCCAGAUUUAUGCUGGGUACAGGAGUCCUGGUGUGUGCGUGGAAGAGGCUGAGCCCUGGGACAGAGCAGGGCUCCAAGGAGGCAUCUCUUCUGGAUCUCUUGUAUUCUCUCACCCCAGCAGGAACCAACCCUGUGGCUACUGGAAAAAAAAAAUGUAAAAGAUGUCAUUUCUCUUUGGGACCUUACUUUUGACUCUGCCCAUAAAUGGAGAGGUUCUGAACCAAAGCUCUUCCCACAGGGAACCAGCGAGUUCAGGGUGUUUGUUUAUGGCCUCGUCACUAAUAAAACCACAUCGGCUUUUAAAAACAGCCCCUGUGCCUUAUGAAAACAGGCGGGGAGUGAUGCAGAAGGCGGGGAAUGAGCCUGGAAAAGGAGCCCAUUUUUUCUCUGACAUGAAAUGUAUUAUUUCUCUGCCUGCUGUGAUGUUUGUGUAGGCUCCAGGACCUCUGCUUCACACCGUGCAGAGCCCAGGAGACGCAGCACCGCUGACCUGUGGAGCUCAAAACACCACAAGUCCUAAAUUAGAGUGAGCAAAGGAAGAAGAGGGCGGGCUGCAGUCUUGCUGAAACAUCAGGCAAACAGACAGAGAGCAGCCUGCUUGUGUGAGAGCUGCAGUGUCGCUGUUAGUCACAGCUUUUACCCAGACUGGAGCAGAGAAAAAGAAAUUCUCAAGUCCUCCAAGUGUUCCUCUAAUGUGAACUGCUUGUGUUUUGAGGAAAAAAAUUACAGAAGCAGACAAAGAGGAGUAAAUUAUUUUAACUCACUUAUAUGUGAAUGAAAUACUGCUCCUGCCUGAAGGCUCUGCAUUGUGCGAUACCAAAAUGCCUGGGGAAGGGGCUGCUCCAUCACGGCCGUGCUACCAGCUGGAGGAGAACGCGAUGGCAGGGGAAAUAAAAGCAGACCCUGCAAGAGGCUUACAUAGCGCUGAGAGGCGAAGACGCAAGUUCCCACCAGCCAGACCCCUUAAGGACUGAAGACAACCUAGGCAUCCCACAUCAAAAAGCAGCACUAGGAGACGAACUUGCAACACAUCAUGAGGACCAUGCUAAAGAGACCCAUCACCCUUAUAAUAAAAUCUAGCUGGUUUUCCUCAGCACAUCUAUGGAAAGCAACUCUUAAGAAAUCUGUGAUCAGAGUGGAGCCUGUGGGGCUUUAACUGUGCAGUUGCCAUCGCAUCAAUGUGACUAAAGCCCUGGAUUUCACAAUGAGGAUUGAAGUCCCCAGAAAAUCUGCACUUCAUGAAGGAAUGUUAGAUUAACAAUGAGCACUGUUAAAAAACAAAACAAACAGAACGACAAAAAAACCCUACUGAGUAAGUAAUGACACUGUAUUUCUAUUACAUAAACCUGGUCGCAACCCUGGUUUUAAACACACUGGCCUCCAGAGCCAGCUGAAAAGCAGGAACAUUAUUUUGACUGAAAUAUUUCAACCAGCUCUCACUGCUACAAGCUUUCCUAAAACUACAGCUCUCAUGGCUGUCGAGAUCAAGAAGAAAAAAAGAAAGGGAGGUGUGAGGGGAGGAAGGCCUUUUCUUAAUAAAGGCAGCUUCAGUUAGUAAGAUAACAUAAUCUUCAAGCUGCAAAAGCAGCACCUACUAAUUAGUCAUUGACUAAAACAUAAAUAAUAAAUACCUAAAUUGUUCCUUCUAUGCAUCCAUUUUCAUGCCAGAUAAACAUUUCAAUGCUCUGCCUUAAUGCCAGCACAGCUGACACCGCAAUUUCAAGUCCAAAGCAAACUGCAAGUAGCUUUAAACCAAUACUACGGAGAGAGAACAAGCCGCUGGGAUCUCUGUGUCACGGUCAUCUUGCAAGUGUUGUUUAAAAGGGAAUUCAUCCUUUCUGUGUGAUGCGAUUACAGAAUGAUUUAAGGGUCUAUUUCCCUCCUGAUGUGGAAGCUUAACUCUCAUCAGCAGGAAUGAAAGUUAGACAUACCCACAGAAGGGUAAACAGAUACCUGGCUUUAUUAAAUCAACAGGAUUUUUUUUCCUAGUGAACCCAAUAGCUUCUAAUAGCCUUUCUGGGUCAAGAGAUUACCACAGCAACAGAAACAAAGUGCAUGUUUUAUGCAAAUGCAAAAUGCAUCAGUUGGAGAUGAAUUUGCACAUAAAACCUACAUUUAAAAAAGUUUUUGGAAUGUAAAUGCAUUUUUUCCUACUGUAGAAAAUGCAGCUUAAAAUGAUGCAAUACAAGCGUAUUUCAAACAGGGUGCAGCCUGCUAGAAACUCUGAAAACAGACAAGAAUAGAGUUUGUUGAGAGAAUAAAGCAAAAGCACUGAGAAACAUGGUGUUGCUCUUUCACGUCCAGCUUUGGUCAGGAACCCUGAUGUCCUGCACAGCCUUCAAGGUGUCCUGAAAAGCCUAAAAAUACUCUUCUUCAUGAAGAGCUGGCAGAGCUGAGAUCAAGGCAGGAAAUUAGUGUUAAAACUUAUUAGCCACUACUCAAUUAUAGGGAAGAAAUGUGUUGCUGCAGAUUCAGGUCCCAAUCUUGUUUACACUGAUAAAAAUAAUUGCCAACUCUAAACUACAAAGGCCAAAUGCCACCAUUUUACUGGUUCUGAGCAACUCUGCUGCCUGAGAAAAAACAACUCAGCUCAUCAGCAAACGCGUGAGCAGACACAGCCCAACCUACCCAAAUUUACACACACACUUGCUGUUCAGGAAGUCUGCAAUAUGCAUAGGUGCUGGUGGGCUUAGAAAUACCCUGCAGAUUUCAAAGGGCUGAAAUCCAAAAUGCUUCUUGGGCUUUUAAAAUAAUACUGCUACUACCCAGACCCUGAACCUGACUGCAUGAGAAAUGAAAGACUAAUAUUCCAAAACACCAGUUCCAUUUAGAGUUUAGCAUGAAAUUAGUCUGAAAAUUCUCUGAAUGUAAUCUGAACGUCUCUGCUUCAGCUUGCAUUCCCUAACUAGGAUGACACCAGACAUUAGCUGAGUCCAGAAUUGCUUUGUGUUAUAUAUAAAAAAAAAUGAGGGUGUA